UACGGAGGGUGCAAGCGUUAUCCGGAUUCACUGGGUUUAAAGGGUGCGUAGGUGGGCAGGUAAGUCAGUGGUGAAAUCUCCGGGCUUAACUCGGAAACUGCCAUUGAUACUAUCUGUCUUGAAUACCGUGGAGGUUAGCGGAAUAUGUCAUGUAGCGGUGAAAUGCUUAGAUAAUGACAUAGAACACCAAUUGCGAAGGCAGCUGGC
rnacentral:rRNA from 1 species